UACGGGGGAGCAAGCGUUGUUCGGAUUCACUGGGCGUAAAGGGUGCGUAGGUGGCCAGGUAAGUUCGGUGUGAAAGCUCGGAGCUUAACUCCGAAAUGUCAUUGAAUACUAUCUGGCUGGAGGGUCGGAGGGAGACUGGAAUUCUCGGUGUAGCAGUGAAAUGCGUAGAUAUCGAGAGGAACACCAGUGGCGAAGGCGGUUCUCUGG
rnacentral:rRNA from 1 species